rnacentral:rRNA from 1 species
AGCAGCCGCGGUAAUUCCAGCUCCAAUAGCGUAUAUUAAAGUUGUUGCAGUUAAAAAGCUCGUAGUUGAAUUUCGGGAUCAAUUUAUUGGUCGUGCUAUUGUACGUACUGGUAUUAUUGAUUCCUACCUUCUGACGAACCAUGAUGUCAUUAAUUUGGUGUCUUGGGGAAUCAGGACUGUUACUUUGAAAAAUUAGAGUGUUUAAAGCAGGCUCACGCUUGAAUACAUUAGCAUGGAAUAACGAAAUAGGACGUUUGAUUCUAUUUUGUUGGUUUCUAGGAUCGACGUAAUGAUUAAUAGGGAUAGUUGGGGGCAUUAGUAUUCAAUUGUCAGAGGUGAAAUUCUUGGAUUUAUUGAAGACUAACUACUGCGAAAGCAUUUGCCAAGGAUG